rnacentral:rRNA from 1 species
CCUACGGGCGGCAGCAGUGGGGAAUAUUGCACAAUGGGGGAGACCCUGAUGCAGCGACGCCGCGUGAGUGAAGAAGUAUUUCGGUACGUAAAGCUCUAUCAGCAGGGAAGAAAAUGACGGUACCUGACUAAGAAGCCCCGGCUAACUACGUGCCAGCAGCCGCGGUAAUACGUAGGGGGCAAGCGUUAUCCGGAUUUACUGGGUGUAAAGGGAGCGUAGACGGCAGCGCAAGUCUGGAGUGAAAUCCCAUGGCUUAACCAUGGAACUGCUUUGGAAACUGUGCAGCUAGAGUGCAGGAGAGGUAAGCGGAAUUCCUAGUGUAGCGGUGAAAUGCGUAGAUAUUAGGAGGAACACCAGUGGCGAAGGCGGCUUACUGGACUGUAACUGACGUUGAGGCUCGAAAGCGUGGGGAGCAAACAGGAUUAGAUACCCCAGUAGUC